CACGUAGGGCGCAAGCGUUGUCCGGAAUUAUUGGGCGUAAAGAGCUCGUAGGCGGUCUGUUGCGUCCGCUGUGAAAACUCGGGGCUUAACCCCGAGCCGGCAGUGGAUACGGGCAGACUAGAGGUAGGUAGGGGAGAAUGGAAUUCCCGGUGUAGCGGUGAAAUGCGCAGAUAUCGGGAGGAACACCGGUGGCGAAGGCAGUUCUCUGGGCCUUGCCUGACGCUGAGGAGCGAAAGCGUGGGGAGCGAACAGG
rnacentral:rRNA from 1 species